rnacentral:rRNA from 1 species
UAACAUGUGGCUAACCUGCCCUUAGGACAGAAACAACCCCGGGAAACUGGGGCUAAUGUCUGAUAAGCGUGGACUUCUGGAAUGAUUCGACACUCAAAGGGCGUUUGAUUCAUGCAUUGAACGCCGCCUAAGGAUGGGGCCGCAGCCGAUCAGGUUGUUGGUGAGGUAAAGGCUCACCAAGCCUAUAACCGGUACGGGCCGCGGGAGCGGUAGCCCGGAGAUGGACACUGAGAUAAGGGUCCAGGCCCUACGGGGCGCAGCAGUCGCGAAAACUCCGCAAUACACGAAAGUGUGACGGGGCUAUCCCGAGUGCCGUCCGCUGAGGACAGCUUUUCUCCAGUGUAAGGAGCUGGAGGAAUAAGGAGAGGGCAAGCCUGGUGUCAGCCGCCGCGGUAAUACCAGCUCUCCGAGUGGUAGGGAUGUUUAUUGGGCUUAAAGCGUCCGUAGCCGGCUCAGCAAGUCCUCCGUUAAAUCCAACGAUUCAAUCGUUGGACUGCGGGAGAUACUGUUGAGCUUGGGGACGGGAGAGGCCGACGGUAUUCUCGGAGUAGGGGUGAAAUCCUAUAAUCCCGGGAGGACCACCAGUGGCGAAGGCUGUCGGCUAGAACGAGCUCGACGGUGAGGGACGAAAGCUGGGGGAGCGAACCGGAUUAGAUACCCGGGUAGUCCCAGCUGUAAACGAUGCGGGCUAGGUGUUAGGGUGGCCACGAGCCACUCUAGUGCCGCAGCGAAGGCAUUAAGCCCGCCGCCUGGGGAGUACGGCC